rnacentral:rRNA from 2 species
GUAUCUUUGGGUCUGGCUCUUGUCUAUGUUUCUUGGAACAGAACGUCACAGAGGGUGAGAAUCCCGUGCGAUGAGAUGAUCCAGGCCUAUGUAAAGUUCCUUCGAAGAGUCGAGUUGUUUGGGAAUGCAGCUCUAAGUGGGUGGUAAAUUCCAUCUAAAGCUAAAUAUUGGCGAGAGACCGAUAGCGAACAAGUACAGUGAUGGAAAGAUGAAAAGAACUUUGAAAAGAGAGUGAAAAAGUACGUGAAAUUGUUGAAAGGGAAGGGCUUGAGAUCAGACUUGGUAUUUUGUAUGUUACUUCUUCGGGGGUGGCCUCUACAGUUUAUCGGGCCAGCAUCAGUUUGGGCGGUAGGAGAAUUGCGUUGGAAUGUGGCACGGCUUCGGUUGUGUGUUAUAGCCUUCGUCGAUACUGCCAGCCUAGACUGAGGACUGCGGUUUAUACCUAGGAUGUUGGCAUAAUGAUCUU